UACGAAGGUCCCAAGCGUUGUUCGGAAUCACUGGGCGUAAAGGGAGCGUAGGCGGCGUGGUAAGUCAGAUGUGAAAUCCCGGGGCUCAACCCCGGAACUGCAUCCGAUACUGCCGUGCUUGAGGGUUGGAGAGGUAGCUGGAAUUAUCGGUGUAGCAGUGAAAUGCGUGGAUAUCGAUAGGAACACUCGUGGCGAAGGCGAGCUACUGGACAACAUCUGACGCUGAGGCUCGAAGGCCAGGGGAGCAAAAGGG
rnacentral:rRNA from 1 species